UACGUAGGGUGCAAGCGUUGUCCGGAAUUAUUGGGCGUAAAGGGCGCGUAGGCGGCUUGAUAAGUCGGGGGUGAAAGCCUGUGGCUCAACCACAGAAUUGCCUUCGAUACUGUCGGGCUUGAGACCGGAAGAGGUAAGUGGAACUGCGAGUGUAGAGGUGAAAUUCGUAGAUAUUCGCAAGAACACCAGUGGCGAAGGCGGCUUACUGGUCCGGUUCUGACGCUGAGGCGCGAAAGCGUGGGGAGCAAACAGG
rnacentral:rRNA from 1 species